ensembl:lncRNA
AAAGCAAGCUGUUCUGAAUGUCAGGAUUGUCCCAAACUGAAUUGUAUCGUGACUAUAUCUUAUGUUUCAAAAACAAGAAUAAUACUAAUUAUUAUUAUCUUAAGACGCUCAGCUAAUGCUCUUGAAAGCAGGAGUUCUGACCCCUGGGAACAGAGGCAGGUGCGAGUCUGGGCUCCAUUAGGGAAAGCCCUGGGGUUUGGUGGCUCUUGUUGUAAUCUGUAAAAUUGGCCGUGACUCCUCCCCCUCUUCUUCAUCCUCCUCCUCCUCUUCAUCCUCCUCAUCCUCCUCCAGCAGCAGCAGGGCGUGUGCCGCAGAGGGGAAGCAGAAGAGCUCGCAGCUGCGCAACUUUCCGACUCUGUUUUAAACGGAUUACACCACAGCCGCGUCCCCGCAUCCUUUCUUCGCCUCGGAUGGGCGCUCGGAUGGACGCGUUGUGGGAGCCGGAGCCGCCGAGCCUCCGCUUCCUUCGGACUUUGAAGGAGGUGCUGAAGUUCGUCCUGUUCAGCUACACGGUGCUGCUGGGCUCGCUGCUGCUGGCCGGCUGGACCACGUACUUCAUGGUGGCGAAGUGACGCGGACGUUCCCCAUUAAACCAUGUGCCCAUUAAACCAAGUGUCCGCCUGGACUCUUCUUUUCUCCCGUGUUCAUUACGACCGUUGCGUUUGGGGGGACAGAACGACAGAAAAAUAAUAAACCUCGCAAUCCCAACAGGUGAUGUUUCAGCUCGUUCAUUUGGAUUAGUUAUUUUUUUUAUAUUUACAUUAACAGUAAUUAUCAGACGCCCUUAUCCAGAGAGACUUACAAUCAGUAGAUACCGGGACAGUCCCCCCCGGAGCAACUUGGGGUUAAGUGUCUUGCUCAGGGACACAGUGGUAGUAAGUGGGAUUUGAACCUGGGUCUUCUGGUUCAAAGGCGAGUGUGUUACCCACUAGGCUUCUACCACCCAUGUUUAAAUAUAAAAGAACACAAUCAUUAAAAAAGUCCCAUUCCUUCGCGCGUCUUUAAC